UACGAAGGGGGCGAGCGUUGUUCGGAUUUACUGGGCGUAAAGGGCGCGCAGGCGGUUCUGUUUGUCAGGCGUGAAAGCCCCGGGCUUAACCUGGGAACUGCGUUUGGGACUGGUUUGCUAGAGAUCGGGAGAGGAGAGUGGAAUUCCCAGUGUAGAGGUGAAAUUCGUAGAUAUUGGGAAGAACACCGGUGGCGAAGGCGGCUCUCUGGACCGAUACUGACGCUGAGGCGCGAAAGCGUGGGGAGCAAACAGG
rnacentral:rRNA from 1 species